rnacentral:lncRNA from 1 species
UUCUGCAACAGUAAUUAUAUAAAAUUCCAUUCUCCCAGGCAGUGAACAAGGGAGAAAAACAGGUUCUUUAAAAAUGGCUGUAUUUGUAGGUUUUUAGAAACCAGCACCAAAUGUUCAUGUUUAAUUAUUCUAAGUAACAUUUAGUAAUUAACUAAAUGCCUAUCAAUAUGGACAAACAAAAGAGUGAAUGAUAAGGAAAUAACUUUCAAGCAAUAGUGCAUGUUGUUAAGAACCACUAAGUAAAAUAAUCUGACACAUUUCUACAGCUUUUGUAGGUUUGCCCAGUUUGGAAAUAACAUGCCUCAAUGCUCAGUAAUAUUCCUACCCUUCAAAUCAUGAGUACAGGUUUUUAAUUUUGUGACUAGGCAAGACCAAGUACAACUUGAAAAGAUACUUUUAAAAAACAAGCUAACUCAGAACAAUCUGUUAUUAGAACCAUUACUCUAUUAAGAAGGGAAAAAACCAUCAAAUCACUGUAAAAAGUGUCUAAAUGAAAAACUGAAAGCAAGGUUCACAAACAGUAGCAUCAGUUCAAGUCUACAUGACCCUUUAUUACAUUGUAGCGAUAUUAUGUUCAACAUUACAUAAGUUUUCUUAUGUCUUCCUCACACUGCAAUUUAUCCCCACUGUACAACAGAUUUCAACUCUGAAAAUGGUUUAAAUCAACUUUUUGCAUCUUUAAUUUACAAACCAUUGGGUGUUAUGUUUCAUAAAAAUUUAUAUCAUUUUAAAAUUCUACUUAAAAGCUAAACCUAAAACUAAACCCUUUAAAAACAAAAAACCAAUGAAGGUGCUUUAAACAGAACCUUGUAGAAAUAUUCUGAUACCAGUGUUUGAAAGAGAGACUACGGAGGGCUAUAAAAGGGCAACCUUCAUAAAAAAAAUUCUAUGGCCAAUUACUGUUAAAUUCUUUUAAAUACAUUUUUCUAAUGAUAGAAAAUUAAAUCAAAAGAUGGAAGUUUAAUUUUUCCCCAAUAAGUAGUUGUUCAGGACAUGGGUUAAGUGUACUGAAAUCAUAUUGCUUCUUUGAAAAAAGAGAUUUUAGCCAGGCAUACCAUUAACAAAAGACCACGCAUAUCUGCCUAGUCUCUUGAUCUCUGGGUACUAGUAUUACCUAAGGGAACAUUACCCAAGAAAUUGGUUGGCAAGCCUACCAAAUAUGAGUCUUGGGUCCCUCAAUUUUGACAGUCAUCUUAGCAAAUACAAAACUUU